rnacentral:rRNA from 1 species
UACAGAGGGUGCAAGCGUUGUCCGGAUUUAUUGGGUUUAAAGGGUGCGUAGGUGGCCCUAUAAGUCAGUGGUGAAAGCCUGCAGCUUAACUGUAGGAUUGCCAUUGAUACUGUAGGGCUUGAGUACUGAUGAGGUAGGCGGAAUUGAUAGUGUAGCGGUGAAAUGCAUAGAUAUUAUCAAGAACACCGAUUGCGAAGGCAGCUUACUAAGGAGUUACUGACACUGAGGCACGAAAGCGUGGGGAUCAAACAGG